GACGAACGCUGGCGGCGUGCUUAACACAUGCAAGUCGAACGGAAAGGCUCCAGCUUGCUGGAGUACUCGAGUGGCGAACGGGUGAGUAACACGUGGGUAAUCUGCCCUGCACUCUGGGAUAAGCCUGGGAAACUGGGUCUAAUACUGGAUAUGACCUUUCUCCUUAUGGGGUUUGGUGGAAAGUUUUUCGGUGUAGGAUGAGCCCGCGGCCUAUCAGCUUGUUGGUGGGGUGAUGGCCUACCAAGGCGACGACGGGUAGCCGGCCUGAGAGGGUGAUCGGCCACAUUGGGACUGAGAUACGGCCCAGACUCCUACGGGAGGCAGCAGUGGGGAAUAUUGCACAAUGGGCGGAAGCCUGAUGCAGCGACGCCGCGUGAGGGAUGACGGCCUUCGGGUUGUAAACCUCUUUCAGCAGGGACGAAGCGUAAGUGACGGUACCUGCAGAAGAAGCACCAGCUAACUAUGUG
rnacentral:rRNA from 1 species